rnacentral:rRNA from 1 species
UGGGGAAUUUUGGACAAUGGGCGCAAGCCUGCUCCAGCCAUGCCGCGUGCGGGAAGAAGGCCUUCGGGUUGUAAACCGCUUUUGUCAGGGAAGAAAUCCUUUGGGCUAAUACCCCGGGGGGAUGACGGUACCUGAAGAAUAAGCACCGGCUAACUACGUGCCAGCAGCCGCGGUAAUACGUAGGGUGCAAGCGUUAAUCGGAAUUACUGGGCGUAAAGCGUGCGCAGGCGGUUAUGCAAGACAGAUGUGAAAUCCCCGGGCUCAACCUGGGAACUGCAUUUGUGACUGCAUGGCUAGAGUGCGGCAGAGGGGGACGGAAUUCCGCGUGUAGCAGUGAAAUGCGUAGAUAUGCGGAGGAACACCGAUGGCGAAGGCAAUCCCCUGGGCCUGCACUGACGCUCAUGCACGAAAGCGUGGGGAGCAAACAGGAUUAGAUACCCUGGUAGUCCACGCCCUAAACGAUGUCAACUGGUUGUUGGGAAGGUUCCUUCUCAGUAACGUAGCUAACGCGUGAAGUUGACCGCCUGGGGAGUACGGCCGCAAGGUUG